UCCUGGUUAGCUCAGUUGGUAGAUCUCUGCACUGGAAAUGGAGAGGUUCCUGAUUCAAUACCAGGACCAGGCG
rfam:Ixodes scapularis strain Wikel colony gcontig_1108378291946, whole genome shotgun sequence.